GAAACGACUGCUAAGACUGGAUAGGAGACAAGAAGGCAUCUUUUUGUUUUUAAAAGACCUAGCAAUAGGUAUGCUUAGGGAGGAGCUUGCGUCACAUUAGUUAGUUGGUGGGGUAAAGGCUUACCAAGACUAUGAUGUGUAGCCGGGCUGAGAGGUUGAACGGCCACAUUGGGACUGAGACACGGCCCAAACUCCUACGGGAGGCAGCAGUAGGGAAUUUUCGGCAAUGGAGGAAACUCUGACCGAGCAACGCCGCGUGAACGAUGAAGUAUUUCGGUACGUAAAGUUCUUUUAUUAGGGAAGAAUAAAUGAUGGAAAAAUCAUUCUGACGGUACCUAAUGAAUAAGCCCCGGCUAACUAUGUGCCAGCAGCCGCGGUAAUACAUAGGGGGCAAGCGUUAUCCGGAAUUAUUGGGCGUAAAGGGUGCGUAGGCGGUUAAAUAAGUUUAUGGUCUAAGUGCAAUGCUUAACAUUGUGAUGCUAUAAAAACUGUUUAGCUAGAGUAAGAUAGAGGCAAGUGGAAUUCCAUGUGUAGUGGUAAAAUGCGUAAAUAUAUGGAGGAACACCAGUAGCGAAGGCGGCUUGCUGGGUCUUUACUGACGCUGAGGCACGAAAGCGUGGGGAGCAAACAGGAUUAGAUACCCUGGUAGUCCACGCCGUAAACGAUGAGUACUAAAUGUUGGGUAAAACCAGUGUUGAAGUUAACACAUUAAGUACUCCGCCUGAGUAGUACGUACGCAAGUAUGAAACUUAAAGGAAUUGACGGACUCCGCACAAGCGGUGGAUCAUGUUGUUUAAUUCGAAGGUACCCGAAAAACCUCACCAGGUCUUGACAUGCUUCUGCAAAGCUGUAGAAACACAGUGGAGGUUAUCAGUUGCACAGGUGGUGCAUGGUUGUCGUCAGCUCGUGUCGUGAGAUGUUGGGUUAAGUCCCGCAACGAGCGCAACCCUUAUUGUUAGUUGCCAGCACGUAAUGGUGGGGACUUUAGCAAGACUGCCAGUGAUAAAUUGGAGGAAGGUGGGGACGACGUCAAAUCAUCAUGCCCCUUAUGACCUGGGCUACAAACGUGAUACAAUGGCUGUUACAAAGGGUAGCUGAAACGCAAGUUUUUGGCGAAUCUCAAAAAAACAGUCUCAGUUCGGAUUGAAGUCUGCAACUCGACUUCAUGAAGUUGGAAUCGCUAGUAAUCGCGAAUCAGCAUGUCGCGGUGAAUACGUUCUCGGGGUUUGUACACACCGCCCGUCA
rnacentral:rRNA from 1 species